GUAAAAGGAGGCGCAUGCGCAGUUCGGCAUUUCUUGCCCACGCGCUCCCCUAAGUCCACGCGCGCCCUCAGCCUCCAGCAUCCCGCACCUACUCUCAGGCAUCCCGGAACUCUAGGACUGUGUGGAGAGAGCCGGCCUAGUCCCCAGUCCAUCUUCCUAGCGGUUACCUUCUUUCACUCCUGACACGGAGAAGGGAACGUUCUUGGUGCCAGGAAGAUAAACCCGGGCCUCUGGGAGUCAGGCCUCCCAGGCGUCUCUCAGCAACGGAGGACUCUUACUUACGCGUCCCUGGACAGCAAGACUGAGGAACUCUCCUGAGAGGACUUCCCUGGUGGCUCAGAUGGUAAAGCAUCUGCCUGCAAUGCGGGAGACCUGGGUUUAAUCCCUGGGUCGGGAAGAUCUCCUGGAGAAGGAAAUGGCAACCCAUUCCAGUAUUCUUUCCUGGAACAUCCCAUGGACAGAGGAGCCUGGUAGGCUACAGUCCAUUGGAUUGCAGAGUUGGACAUGACCCAGCGACUUCACUUUCACUUUUCAGAAUGGGUACCAAGUGUGAAGAUAACUUUUGUCAUAAGCAAAUGCCCCGGAAAAGUCCUCUGCUGUAGAGGAAGCUUCAAUAACCAGGCUAACGAGCUCCUCACCGUGCUAUGAGGAACAUCACCUAGACAAAUAACAGAACUUGGGGAGCUACCCCACGUCCGAGGUCAGGGGUGGUGGCCAAGAAGAGCAACCCCACGUCCAAGGAGAGGUGGCUGCACGGGCGCAGGACGACCGAGAGGAGCUACUCCACAUUCAGGGUCAGGAGGGGUGACAUCGUCCAACGUAAGGAGCAGCGGCUGUGCUUUGAUGUAGCAGCUGUGAAGAGAUACCCUACAUCCAAGUCAUUCUACUCGAGUAACCUACAACAUGUGGUCUCUGGAAGACUCCUCUGUACACUCAGCAAAGAAUGAGGAUGAAAAAGGCAAACAACAUCUUUGUGUGACAAAACCGACUUUGACCCUGAGGAUCCUAGAAAGGGUCUUGAGGACUUCUCUGGGCUGUACUGAGAACAGCUGCCCUAGUCACAUUUUACAUAUAAGAAAGUUGAAUCUCCAGAGAGAUCAACUGAGAUCCAAAAUGGUAAGGCCUGUUAACAAUGGGAUACAGAUCCUGGAUGGUUUGUCUCACUUCCCUAGGUUUAGGUUCCCAAUCAGAAAUACACCCUAAUGACCUGUCCUGCCUGCUGUAGUUGCAGGAACUGCCAAAAUAUAUUAACAACAACAACUAAUUGUUUUAAAUAAAACAGAAGAGGAAAACCAACACAGGUGAUGAAUUCUGCAAUGGAGUACUGUGUUAGCACUUGAAUGAGGAUUCUACUAGAACUGAAACACUAAGACAAACUCUGUUGCACUCUCCUCCACACGCACUGACAGCACAGUCAAUACCACAGAGAAAUACAGAAAGCAGAAUUACCAUUUACAACAUCACCAAUUAUCACAUUUUGUGAAUCUGAGACGCAAUUCAUGACAGUCUGAAAAAUUUUUACAAGUACUGAAUGAAAAGGUAUUGGGUAUAUUGAGACUUCAAAUAAACUGGCCAUCAUGGGGGAUUUUUCAGAUAAAAUGGAGUUGUUUUGAAAUACAGAUAUUUUUCAUUCUUUAACAGGACCUUAUUUGCCUUUUAUGUAUUGGUUUGGCUCAGAAGUUCUUUUGGUUUUUAAGUAAAAAUAAAAGAACAUUUUUCACUUUCACUAAGAACUGAACAAUGUAUUCACCAUUUUGUUCCACUACCUUCUGCCAUUUUUCAGGCAACUUCAUAAUUCCAUCUUCCCAAAACUUUUUAUUUUUUUGAGCAAAGAACUGUUCCAGGUACCUUUUGCAGUCUUCCAGAGAACUGAAAUUUUUUCCAUUGAGAGAAUUUUGUAAAGAUCGAAAUAAAUGGAAAUCUGAAGGUUCAAUGUCUGGGGAAUAUGGUGGAGGAAUCAGAAUUUGCCAGCCAAGCUGUAAUGAUUUUUGUCUGGUCAUCAAAGAAACUUGUGGUCUUGCGUUAUCCUGAUGAAAGAUUAUGCAGUUUCUGUUGACUGAUUCUGGACGCUUUUCAUUGAGUGCUGCUUUCAGUUGGUCUAACUGGGAGCAGUACUUCUUGGAAUUGACUGUUUGGUUUUCUGGAAAGAGCUCAUUAUAGAGGACUCCUAUCUAAUCCCACCAUAUACACAACAUCACCUUCUUUGGAUGAAGACCAGCCUUUUGUGUGG
ensembl:lncRNA